rnacentral:rRNA from 1 species
AUGGGCAGCAGCAGUUCCUCCACCCCCUCCCACGACUACGCCGGAGGAGGCACCGAUGGGUUGAGCUUCGCUGCGGCGUGGGUCGACGGGAAGGGCAGGCUGUCCGCCGUUCCCUUUCCGGCACCUUUUUCCCCAACCUCCGCGGGCAGCAUCCUCGACUUCGCCUUCCCCUUCGCCUUGGGUCAAGCUCCACGGCAGGGAGGAGGAUGA